GGGUCGGUUUUCCCCAAGUUAAUUUAUUGGUUAACGUCAUUCCCUUUAAAAUCCCAGCCGUGUUUUGGAUGGACACAAAAGUUUUUCCUAAAUUGAUAUGGAAAGGCCCUCCAACAGCUCAGUCUUGAAGGACGUGCAAGUGGGUUCUGACUGCUCUUGCAUCUUUCAUUACAACUGCAGACGUCAAGAUGUGUGUCAGUUUCUCGUGUAACCAAAAGAGCCAAAAGAAUUAAGAAUUUAAAAUCCAACAUCAAAAAUUGGUGGAGGAAGGAGGCAGGAGAGUGACCUGCCCUCCCCACCCCAGCACCCCGUGGUUGGAGGCCUCGCCCGCUGCUACCUGAGGAUGAAUCCAGGAGUAUUUCCAACCUUGUGGAGAGACAGGUCCAGCAACACAGAGAAGUGGUGAAUGCGGAUGCUUCCAAAGAAUGAGGACGGGGAGGCGUCUGGAGGAUGGGCUCCCUUUGACUUUAAUCCCCGAGACUGCUUGGAAGGUGAAAGCAUAAAGGCAUGUGCUAUUUUAAUGAAAAGUCAACAUACCGAUUUACACACAAAAUUCCCUCCAACAUCUUGCGUUUACCUUCAAGCACAGACGAUCCCAUUGAGGGCAGUGGCCCUGACUCAGCCUCUCCUCCUCAGCCUCAUUUGCAGCUCUUGGCUCUGUCCCUUCCCCCCAGCACAGGGCCCCCCUGGCUUCCAGAUGCUCCACCCACCUAUCACCCUGCUGCCUAGAACGUGCCCCCACCCCGCCACCCCGCCACUUACCUGGUGUUGGCUCAGUUCAAAUACCUCCCCAUCACAGAAGCAUCCUGGCUCCUGAGUUCCUGUUUGAGACCCUCCAUCCAUUCCAACUGCCCUCAGCCUGAGCUCAAGUUUGAGGAGCAAGGAAUACCAUUCCCCCCUCUAAACCGUAAGCCCCAUGACAGCCGGGCUCUGUCUGUUCUAUGUGCUGUUUCCGGGCUCCUACUACCAGGUAUGUGUUGGACAUUUAAUCAAUAAUUGUUGAAUAAGUAACGCCCUAUAUAGUAGUCAAGUUUUCUAAAGUCCCAUAUACCUCCUGGUGUAAAAGGUACAAAUUCCAGGGUAUCAUCCUUGAAGGUAAGGGUGAUGGGGAAAUUAAAUCUGUCCCCCACCUCACCCUAUUUAUCCCAGUCAUUUUCUCUUCAAUAUGUUUUAAACCAUCAUGGUGUAAUCGGUCUAUUCCAGCAAUGCAUUCAAAGCUGUAACACCUCAUCUUGUAUAACUCCAGUCUCAAGAACUAGACUAAUACUUAUAUCAUAGACUGACCAUCUUAUUUGAGACUUUGGCAGGUGUCCCUGUUAUGUUUGGAAGACUUAGCUUGACCAGCAAUACAUCCAAGUCUAUGGAUGAGUCAUGUCGUAACAAGGACCUACUGUACUGUUGCCUUUUGGCUGGGAAGUGACAGCGGUCUCCAGAGCUUACAUUGGCUCAGAGCCACUGCCCUCUUGUGCAGUAAUAAAAACACCAACCUGAGAACUCCAGCAGAAAGACUGGAGGCAGGACCUUUUUCAGAACAAGCCCGAGCCUUGCUUCUACCCCAACCUGUGCUCAGAGGCUUCCACACAAAACAAGAGGUAAACUAGGGUCACUCUCGAGUCAUGGCACCAAGUGUCAACAAUCGCAUUUCUAAGACAAAACUGCUGUGGCUGGAUUUUUUCAUGGCCAGCACUGUUCCUUUUAAAAAUGCCUUCAUAGCAGAAAGUGAUGUCACGGGCGGGUGUUGUGCAACCUCUAACAAUAACAGCUACUCUUAGUGCCCUCCUCUGCAGGCAGGUCCAGAACACAGCACCCCUGCUCAGGCUGACUGGAUUCGAGUCUGUCUACAGGACCUAUGGUCUCUUAAUUCAGGCAACCCAUGUGCAAAAUGGCAACUUUAUCAGGACUGAGCUAAAGGGAUUAGGAGAGGAUUCAACAGAAUAAAAUCCAAGAAAUCGCUUUGCUCCGUACUGAUCGCACAGCACGGGCUGAAUAGAGAAGAGUGCUGUUCAUUGCUGCUGUAUGUGCUGGGUUUACGUGCUUCAGCUCAAGUCCUUCCAACUCUGCCAGUUAAUCAUCAAUAUUCCCACUUUACGAAAAAGUAAAUGAGAAUUAAAUAAUUAGCCUGAGGUCACCCAGUUAGUAAGUCACACCAGUUAUUAUUCAAAUCCAGACCGAUUGAACUUCAAAGUCUGCAGUCAUUAUUGAACUCUAAAACUGCAUAAUUUAAUGGGCACUCAGGCUAGGUCAUGUUAUUCUUUAUUAUACCCUUAACCAAACACAAUUACCCCAGUCUGCAUAAGGGCUGUUAUUGUCUGAUUUCCAAAUACCUGGAGGUCAAUAAAGGGUUGUUCUGCUAAUAUCCAGUUUAAAAAUUGGUAGACUUAGAACAAGUGCAGUGUGUAUGAAGUGUGGGUCUCAAGGUCAUCAGCUGUGAAAUAAUAAAUGAGACCUGUCUUAGACAGUGGUGACGAAGCUAAAUAAGAUUCAUAAAUACAGCUGGUGUGAGUCUUGCCUAAAGGUAGGCACUCAAUAAGUGUUUCUUGAAAAAAAGAAUAUAUGUGUAUGUAUAUAUAUAUGAAUGUACUUAUAUAACCCAUACAAAGAAAAAAGGAAGGAAAGGAAUGGAGGGAGAGAGGGAAGGAAGGAGGGGAGGGAGGGAGGGAGGGAAGGGAGGGAGGGAGGGAAAGGAAGGAGGGAAGGAGGGAGGGAGGGAAGGGAAGGAGGGAAGGCAGAAAGGGGGGACUCAGGACCCUGGGCUCUGCUCCUCCUGGCAGUCAGCCACGGGGAGGUGCCUGCUGGGGGAGAGCUGGCCCCAGGUGUGCGUUUGCAUAAAAGACCAGAAACCUCCAGGGAAGCAAAGGUGUGAAUCCAAAGGCAGGGGUUCAGAGCGUGGAGGAAAGGACUUGCAGAGGAAAGGCCUUGAGUGCUGAGCAGGGCAUCUGUCAGGUGCUUGUUCCCCACGACCUCAUGGCUCAACCCUGGGUCUAUCCCCAGUCCUGAGCGCAGAGACGAGUUCAGAACCAGGUGACGGUCACAGCUAUAGGGGCCAAAGGCAGUAGAGGUGACAGUCUAAUAAGACAUGCCUGAUUUGGAUAGGAGGGGAGCCGAGGGUUCGAGGAGUUUUACAAUGGCUUCCACCACCUGCAUGGGAACAGCCUCAGUGGCUGCGGGGGGCAUGAACCACCACCAAGAUAGAGAAGUCACGGGGCACCUGGAGGACUCCAGGCAGGAGUCGGGGUCCCCGAGGGAAGCCCAUCUACACUGUGGGUGGGACGAAGCAGGAGAACCACUCUGCAAGGGCUUCUAGUCAAGCCCCUUCUCAUUCCCAGGCUGACACAGCUAGGAAAAUGUAAGCCCAUGCAAACCAAAGGAGCUAUAAUGACUCAUCUCUAAUUGUCCUUCCCUGGUCACAAAGUAGGGCUUUCCUCACCAAAAUGCACCAGCAAUCCUGCUGAUGCUCCACCUGGGUGGCUCCUCCAUCUGAGCUGCUUAUAGUUGUGUCUGGUGAAAUAUCUUGAAAAUGUACAAUUUAAGUGUCCUUAGAGGAAAAUGAUAAAGGUGCUGAUGAGCAUAACGUUUCUUGCCAUUUCCAGAUGACUAUUUUCAGUUUACUUUGCUAUCCAUUGAUUCGUUGCUUAUGGAAAUAGCCAACAUUUCUAUUCCAAGU
rnacentral:lncRNA from 1 species